GUCAGAUAGGGAUAAAAAUAUCAGUUUGUGGUGGUCAACUAGAUAGGAAAAUGAGGGUAAGCUGCUGACAAAAAGCCCUAUGCAGCGAGAGACUGAGGGAGGCCUCCAGCCCGUGACACAGGAGGAACUGAGUGCCGCCAGCAACCAUUGUGAGUGAGCUCCGUGGAGCCUGGAGAGGAGACUGCAGCCCUUGGUGACACCUGAACCGAAGACUCAGCUGAGAUACAUCUGGGUUCCUGCCCCACAGAAACCAAAGAUAAUGGAGAAGGCCUCAUGGUCAUGACUGUUGAGCCCCCACUGACUGCAAAAUGGAAAUAGUGAGCUGAGAAAAUUCAAAAAGUUGCCUGUGUAAACACAGUUUUUUAUAAUGGUCAGAAGAGACAUGACUAUUGGGUCCAUUUUAAUUACUUUAGCCAUUCUGCCCAACCUUCCCUGCCCCGCGAUCAUUUCAGCAAUUUUUUGCAUAGCAGCCAAGUUUUCCUGUCCCCACUAACUCUGUGUGGUCUGCAGCAUGAUAAACCAUCACUCA